UGGGGAAUAUUGCACAAUGGGCGCAAGCCUGAUGCAGCCAUGCCGCGUGUAUGAAGAAGGCCUUCGGGUUGUAAAGUACUUUCAGCGAGGAGGAAGGCGUUGUGGUUAAUAACCGCAGCGAUUGACGUUACUCGCAGAAGAAGCACCGGCUAACUCCGUGCCAGCAGCCGCGGUAAUACGGAGGGUGCAAGCGUUAAUCGGAAUUACUGGGCGUAAAGCGCACGCAGGUGGUCUGUCAAGUCGGAUGUGAAAUCCCCGGGCUCAACCUGGGAACUGCAUCCGAAACUGGCAGGCUAGAGUCUUGUAGAGGGGGGUAGAAUUCCAGGUGUAGCGGUGAAAUGCGUAGAGAUCUGGAGGAAUACCGGUGGCGAAGGCGGCCCCCUGGACAAAGACUGACGCUCAGGUGCGAAAGCGUGGGGAGCAAACA
rnacentral:rRNA from 1 species